rnacentral:rRNA from 1 species
GACGAACGCUGGCGGCGUGCCUAAUACAUGCAAGUUGAGCGCUGAAGGUUGGUACUUGUACCAACUGGAUGAGCAGCGAACGGGUGAGUAACGCGUGGGGAAUCUGCCUUUGAGCGGGGGACAACAUUUGGAAACGAAUGCUAAUACCGCAUAAAAACUUUAAACACAAGUUUUAAGUUUGAAAGAUGCAAUUGCAUCACUCAAAGAUGAUCCCGCGUUGUAUUAGCUAGUUGGUGAGGUAAAGGCUCACCAAGGCGAUGAUACAUAGCCGACCUGAGAGGGUGAUCGGCCACAUUGGGACUGAGACACGGCCCAAAAUCCUACGGGAGGCAGCAGUAGGGAAGCUUAGGCAAUGGACGAAAGUCUGACCGAGCAACGCCGCGUGAGGGAAGAAGGUUUUCGGAUCGUAAAACUCGGUUGGUAGAGAAGAACGUUGGUGAGAGUGGAAAGCUCAUCAAGUGACGGUAACUACACAGAAAGGGACGGCUAACUACGUG